GGCAACUUUACUCAACGAACACAACCUCUGCAUUCGCGUGAACAAAUAUUCCAUUUGUUUGAAAAAGUAAGUUAGUUGGGUCCAAUUUCCCGAGAAACGAUCAACUUUAUUCAACAAACGCACCCCAUGCGUUCGCGUGAAAAAAUAGCGCGUUUAUUUGAUAAAGUAUUUUAGUUGGUCCAAUUUCCCUGGAAACGACGAACUUUACUCAACGAGCGCACCCCUUGCAUCCUCGAAGUAAAAUACCUUGUUUGUUUUGUAAAUCAUGGACUUCGUUGGGUAAUUU
rnacentral:lncRNA from 1 species